UAAAAUUUGUGAUGAGUUCAUAGUUCAACUGAUCUAGAAUGUAGAAUUACUUAUAUGUCUUUCGCUCCUAUCUGAUAACUUUU
rnacentral:snoRNA from 1 species